UCCAGCACAUAUCAGUAGACUCCUUUGUGGCCCAAGUCUUUGUAGACCUAUUUCCAUAUAAUAGGGACAAAAGAUGAAUCUUUUGGGUCUUUUCCAAGAGAAAAUAAUCAUCAGUGGGACUCAGUUUUUAAGAUGUUCCUAUCUGUGCUAUUUCUGAUACACUGAAAUUGGAACCUAUGAAAUAAUCUUUCUUUAAGAACUGACACAUUAGACCCACCCAAACACAGGCUAUAGGAACCUGAAUGGAUUGCAAAGACCCUAAAGACCAAGAAAAGUGAAUGUGUACCUGGCUGCACUGCUUACAACAUCCAUAACCUGGGCCCUGAGAGAUGAGCAGAAAGCACAGAUGGCCCCGUCUGCUUAAACCCAGCAGAGACUGCGAACGACUUUGGAGUUGUUUAAAGUUGUUCCUUUUCUCCAAGCAACCUGGCUAUUCAGCAGCUGUUCAGUGAGAUAUACAUGGGGUCAUGAUGUUUACAACUUCCUAUCAAAUGGUUCAAUGACAACAAAAACAAAACUAUAUAUACAGAUAUAUACACACUUAUGAAUAUAUGUACAUAAUUGAAAAAUGUAACAGAAGUGUAUAUGGAGAUUCAGAAUACCAUCCUAGCAACUUUUCUUUUAGAUUUGAAUAAAUUUAAAAAUUUAAAAAUUA